GUGCCAGCMGCCGCGGUAAUACGUAGGGUGCAAGCGUUAUCCGGAAUUAUUGGGCGUAAAGAGCUCGUAGGCGGUUUGUCGCGUCUGUCGUGAAAGUCCGGGGCUCAACUCCGGAUCUGCGGUGGGUACGGGCAGACUAGAGUGAUGUAGGGGAGACUGGAAUUCCUGGUGUAGCGGUGGAAUGCGCAGAUAUCAGGAGGWACACCGAUGGCGAAGGCAGGUCUCUGGGCAUUAACUGACGCUGAGGAGCGAAAGCAUGGGGAGCGAACAGGAUUAGAUACCCUGGUAGUCCAUGCCGUAAACGUUGGGCACUAGGUGUGGGGGACAUUCCACGUUUUCCGCGCCGUAGCUAACGCAUUAAGUGCCCCGCCUGGGGAGUACGGCCGCAAGGCUAAAACUCAAAGAAAUUGACGGGGGCCCGCACAAGCGGCGGAGCAUGCGGAUUAAUUCGAUGCAACGCGAAGAACCUUACCAARGCUUGACAUGAACCGGAAAGGCGUAGAAAUACGUCCCCCACUUGUGGUCGGUUUACAGGUGGUGCAUGGUUGUCGUCAGCUCGUGUCGUGAGAUGUUGGGUYAAGUCCCGCAACGAGCGCAACCCUCGUUCUAUGUUGCCAGCACGUGAUGGUGGGGACUCAUAGGAGACUGCCGGGGUCAACUCGGAGGAAGGUGGGGAUGACGUCAAAUCAUCAUGCCCCUUAUGUCUUGGGCUUCACGCAUGCUACAAUGGCCGGUACAAAGGGUUGCGAUACUGUGAGGUGGAGCUAAUCCCAAAAAGCCGGUCUCAGUUCGGAUUGGGGUCUGCAACUCGACCCCAUGAAGUCGGAGUCGCUAGUAAUCGCAGAUCAGCAACGCUGCGGUGAAUACGUUCCCGGGCCUUGUACWCACCGCCCGUC
rnacentral:rRNA from 1 species